ensembl:lncRNA
CACACACACACACACACACACACACACACACACACACGCAAUAUUUUCUAAAAUGAAACUGAACCCUGUGGUAAGAUGGUUAUAUAAACGGCUCCGUCCUAAUAACAUUAACAUGCUCCUUCCUCAUGCAGGCUCCUUUUGAAUUGUGUUUUUAAAUCGAUUCUGUGGAAAAAUCGAAUGGCUCAACUGGAUAUCUGCUCGCACACACACACACACGCGCGCACACACACACACACGCGCGCACACACACACACGCGCGCGCACACACACACACGCGCACACAUACACACAGCCAUGAAGGGAAAAAUUGCCUCAUCAUUCAUGGUGGGAGGAUUCAAUCAUCUGAAGUGCAGCGUCUCAAACGCAUACUUGGCCUGAGAGUGUGAGGCUGGAAGUCGUCACACAGACAGAGUGAGGAUCUGCACUAACACACUGACACUAACACACAAACACACACUAAUACACUGUGCUUUAUCCUGACAGAUCUGCGGUGUUUAAUAGGGACGUCGCUCAAGUUAAGUGAAGAACAAUUCGGUGCUAGUGAUAAAAUAAACACUAUAAACAGGCUGCAUUUUUUCACUUUAUUAUUAUUAGGUUCCGGGCACACAGUGGAUUAGUGGUUAGCAUGUCUGCCUCACAUCUCCAGGGUUGGGGGUUUGAUUCCCGCUGCUGCCCUGUGUGUGCGGAGUCUGCAUGUUCUCCCCGUGCUGCGGGGGUUUCCUCCGGGUACUCCGGUUUCCUCCCCAGUCCAAACACAUGCAUGGUAGGCUGAUCGGCGUGUCCAAAGUGUCUGUAGUGUAUGAAUGGGUGUGUGAGUGUGUAUGUGAUUGUGCCCUGCAAUGGAUUGGUACCCUGUCCAGGGUGUACCCUGCCUUGUGCCCCUUGCCUCCUUUGACAGGCUCCAGGUUUCGCGUGACCCUGUAGGAUAAGAGGUAUAGAAGAUGGCUGAAUGGAUUAUUAGGUUCCUCAUAAUACACCAUAUUACACCAAACUGCUGCAGAAUUCUGGAUUCUUAUUGGUCAGAAAGUUCAUUCAUUUUAAAUGUAGUGCAGCCUCAGAUCACAGGUUUAUAUUAACGCGCUUGUUCUAAUACGUUAUCAUUUCUAUAGUAACAGCUCGUUCACAGGGACGUGUACGGCGGACGCUCCACGAAAAUGGAUUUAAAAAAGCUCUGAUGUGGUGAAGUUGAUCUGAAAUGAAGUGUGUGUUUAUGUAACGUUUCUGGAAGGAGUCUCCAGUGUCAGCGCUUUGUAACAGUCAGAGAUGAAGGAGUAGCUAAGUUCCACGACAUCUUCAGGACAGAGGAGUUUACGCUUCUUUGCAGUUUCUAGGUAACAUGACAAGCUGCCAGAAAACUUUUUUUUUAAAUAGUGCAAAACAAACAAACAAAAGUUCUAUAUAGCAGACUAUAGUAGAACCCUUUGUGAAAGCUAGGACUCUCUGUAGAACUCUCUGUAGAACUCCUUUUGUUUUAAGAGUACAAACAUUACAAAAAAAAGUUCCAUCUAGCAGCCUGAAGGGGGUUUCAUUUGGCCUAUCUGGUAGAAUCCUUGAAGGUUCUAUGUAGAUUCCUAAAACAAGGUUCAGACGAACAUUUCCCCUUCAGAAACGUUAGGAAAGGAGCCAGUUGAGGUGGUUCGGGAAUCUGGGUUAGGAUGCCCGCCUACUGUACGCCUCCCUGAGGAGGGGUUUCAGGUAUGUCCAUCAGGGAGAAGGCCCUGGGGCAGACCAAGGACUCGAUGGAGAGAUUAGAUCUCUCGUCUGGCCUGGGAGCGUGUGGGUGUCCCCGUGGAGGAGGUGGCUAGGGAUAAGCAGAAGAACAUGGAUAGAUGGAACGACCUGUAGAAUUCCUGAAAAACCUUCUGUUUAAAGAGUACCGAGAAGGUACCAAGUAGCACCCUUUAGAAAGCUAGAACCAUUUAUCAAAUCUUAAAGAACCUUAUUUUACAAAAUUAUUUCCAUCUUGCAGUCUAAAGGGUUCAUUGAUUGAUGUCUCUGGUGAAACACUUUUAUAAAGCUAUAACCAUUAUCCGUCCAUAGAACCUUCAAGGAACCCUUUAAAAAAAAAAAAAAAAAAAAAAAAAGAUUACACUGUUAACAACAGUUGUGGCAGCCUAAAAGGUUCUUUGGUUUGUCCCUCUGGGGGUUCUCUGAAGAACACUUCAACAAGGUUCUUGGGAGCAUUUCCAUUUUUAGAAAGCUAGAACAUUUAUCCAUCUAAAGAAUCCUUGAG